rnacentral:pre_miRNA from 1 species
UAAGUACUCCCUCUGUUUUGAAAAAAUUUGUCCCUCAAAUGAAUGUAUCUAGCACCAAGUUAGUGCUAAAUACAUUCAUUCGAGGAACAAGCAAGCUUGGGACAAGUUUUUUCGGACGGAGGGAGUAUAUU